rnacentral:antisense_RNA from 1 species
GGAGGCGGACGCGAGUAGCUCGGCAGGGGGACUCGCUUGGCUUUCGUGCCAUCCGUGGACACAGUCGCGCGGGUCUUUGUGGGAAGAAACAAAUCACAAAAGCAAUUAAGAGAGCUCAAAUAAUGGGGUUUAUGCCAGUUACAUUCAAGGAUCCUGCGUAUUUCAGGGACCCUAAAGUUUAUAACAUCAGAUAUAGGGAAUAAAUUCUAUCACAUUACCACCAGUAAACUUAUUUUAUAAGAUGGGUCUCACCAUGUUGCCCAGGCUGGUCUCUAACUCCUGGCCUCAAUCAAUCCUGCCUUGUCUUCCCUAAGUGCUGGGAUUACAGCUGUGAGCCACUGUGCCUGGCCUCACUUUUCCAAUUCUAAAGAAUGUGUGUAAGCCUUUCCCUCAACAUCUUAUUGAAAGGUGAAAAAAGGUUUGGAAAUAAAAGCAUCUGAUGUUUGAAAAA